GAUGAACGCUAGCGGCAGGCUUAACACAUGCAAGUCGAGGGGUAACAGUAAGUGCUUGCACUUAGCUGACGACCGGCGCACGGGUGCGUAACGCGUAUAGAACCUACCUUUAACUAAGGCAUAGCCCGAAGAAAUUUGGAUUAAUACCUUAUAGUAUUUUUGAUUCGCAUGGAUUAGAAAUUAAAGAUUUAUCGGUUAAAGAUGGCUAUGCGUCUUAUUAGCUAGUUGGUGAGGUAAGAGCUCACCAAGGCUACGAUAAGUAGGGGUCCUGAGAGGGAGAUCCCCCACACUGGUACUGAGACACGGACCAGACUCCUACGGGAGGCAGCAGUGAGGAAUAUUGGACAAUGGAGGCAACUCUGAUCCAGCCAUGCCGCGUGUAGGAAGACUGCCUUAUGGGUUGUAAACUACUUUUGUAUAGGAAGAAACAGAGUUACGUGUAGCUCUUUGACGGUACUAUAAGAAUAAGGAUCGGCUAACUCCG
rnacentral:rRNA from 1 species